rnacentral:tRNA from 1 species
CAAAGUGUAGCUUAAAUAAAGCAUCUGGUUUACACUCAGAAGAUUUCAUUACAAAUGACCACUUUGA